rnacentral:rRNA from 1 species
AUUGAACGCUGGCGGCAGGCCUAACACAUGCAAGUCGAGCGGAGCGGCGGAGGGGGGAGUAAUGCCUAGGAAUCUGCCUCGUAGUGGGGGAUAACGUCCGGAAACGGGCGCUAAUACCGCAUACUAUCAGAUGAGCCUAGGUCGGAUUAGCUCGUUGGUGGGGUAAAGGCCUACCAAGGCGACGAGCCGUAACUGGUCUGAGAGGAGGAUCAGUCACACUGGAACGGAGACACGGUCCAGACUCCUACGGUAGGCAGCAGUGGGGAAUGUUGGACAAUGGGCGAAAGUCUGAUCCAGCAAUGCCGCGUGUGUGAAGAAGGUCUUCGGAGUGUAAAGCACGUUAAGUUGGGAGGCGUUACCAGCAGAAUAAGCACCGGCUAACUUCGUGCCAGCAGCCGCGGUAAUAC